UCCAAGAAGAACAUAUGCCAGGGGCUGCCAUUCUAAAGGGCUGAGCCUUUGUGAGAAGGUGAGAAAAGGCUACUCGCUCUUAUGUUUUUGACCCUGUCUUUCCGUGGCAAUAAGUUCUGAGUGUGUCUUUUGCUAGGCAGGGCUUACUGGAAGGAUAACCAGGGCUAGUGUGAGGCCUCAGUGGGAGGAAGCAACAAAUGCUGCUUGACUGCUUCUGGGUCAAGUCUCAGGGCUCUUUGAAUUCUAUGCUCUUCAGUCUGGGUGGAUAAGGUGCACGUAUUUAGAAUGGAAGCUGUGGUAGCAACUACACAUUGGCUGAUUUGAAUCCUGUGUCAUGUCUUGUGGAAAUCACAUUAAGGCAGUGAGGAUUUGGAUUUGGGAUGAUACUGACUGAGCCACAGGAGCCCAAACAUCUGCCAGAGCCAGCAACAGGAAAACUCAACAGCUGGGCCUCUUCUAAGUAAUUGGGAUAUGUCAUUGAACAGCGACAUCUGUUAUGUCAACUUCCUUGGGUAAUGACUUUGAUAUCUUAUUUGAAGAUAGAAAUACUGGAUUCUACUAAGGAAAUUGGUAUUAACUAGAAGAUGGCUAAAUUACUGGUCUUAGAGCCUACUACCUAUGGAAACUAUAUUCCUAUAUUAGAAAUAGAUGACACCAUUUUCCAGUCUGAAAUUACAAGUCAGUAUACCUCCAGACAUUUCUCAAUGGAUAAACUGAAAGUUGAACUUGUGAUAGAGGAGAGUUGCAUGAGGCUGGAGGGACACAAUGGAUCCUUGUGAAAAAUGAAGAAAUGGUAAAGUUGCAAAGUUUUAAAUUGAUGUUUACAACACAACUCUUUUGGCUCUAAAUCAGAGUUGUAAAUUUCUUAUACUCGAAGAGUUUGAAACAUUUAAUAUGCUUUUUUUUCUUCCUAAGUAUAGUUUGAUCUUGACAUUAGCUGAAAAAUAAACUAAAAUAAGCUAAGGGAAAACA
rnacentral:lncRNA from 12 species